rfam:Capsicum annuum cultivar Zunla-1 chromosome 12, whole genome shotgun sequence
ACCUUGGGUUUGGGACAUUUCAUGAGUUUCCUAUUAAAUCUCUCCCAUGCCUCAUAUAGAGGUUCUCCAUUCAAUUGACAAAAAUUAGUGAUUUCAUCACAUAACU